rnacentral:rRNA from 1 species
CGCCUCUUGACCAAUUAUAAGAGGUCCAGCCUGCCCAGUGACUCUGUUCAACGGCCGCGGUAUCCUAACCGUGCGAAGGUAGCGUAAUCACUUGUUCUUUAAAUGAGGACUAGUAUGAAUGGCACCACGAAGGUUAUACUGUCUCCUUUCUUUAAUCAGUGAAACUAAUCUCCCCGUGAAGAAGCGGGGAUAAAUAUAUAAGACGAGAAGACCCUAUGGAGCUUUAAACAAGUAACAACUGCCUUAUUAAUCUCUUAAUCUCAGGAAAUUUACCCCUUAUCCAGGCAUUUUGAUUUCAAGUUUUAGGUUGGGGUGACCGCGGAGCAUAAAAUAACCUCCACAGUGAACGGGACUCAUUCCCUAAACCAAGGGCUACAACCCUAAGCAUCAAUAAAUUGACACCUAUUGACCCAAUAUUUUGAUCAAUGAACCAAGUUACCCUAGGGAUAACAGCGCAAUCCACUUCAAGAGCCCCUAUCGACAAGUGGGUUUACGACCUCGAUGUUGGAUCAGGGUAUCCCAGUGGUGCAGCCGCUACUAAAGGUUCGUUUGUUCAACGAUUAAAACCCU